AAGCAGUUUUGUCGUGUAGCACGACGCGUACCUCAUGAUUAUCCACACUGUGACUCACUAAUGUUUUACUUAGGCACGCGAGAGUUCCAAAGCUCGCAGGGUGCAGUUUUGCGAAUGUGCGUGAGUCGUCUGCUAGACAGUCUAAAUAACUGAAUCAUGGGAAAUGAUUUCUGUGAAAAAUAAAACUGAAAUCUUCCAACAAUGACUGAGGCUUGAAAUUGGAUUGUCCUUAAAAUACAUCAUCAUGGGAAAAAGAGAUGGACUUCAGCAACUGCAUAUUCUUUUUGUUAUUGCUUGUCACUGGGCAAUGUCUAUUACACUUGUAUUUGUCAACAAACAUAUGGUUAGCAGCAGCACUUUAGGUCAUGAUCUCACUGUUGUCAUCGCAUGGUCUCAGAGUUUUGUCUCAGUCUUGGCUAUUCUCAUCGGAGCAUCAGUCCAGAUGCUGCUGGACCCAUCAGCACGCUGGAUAGCAUCAAGCCCAUCCCUGCUGUUGAACAGUGAUGUCCUUGCUAUGUCUUUUGCCUUUGUUGCAGUUCUUGUUCUGAAUAAUCUGUUACUGAAGCACAUUGGUGUGGCAUUUUACCAAGUUGCACGGUCUUCCACUCUUGUGUUUUCUGUAAUGUUUUCAAGACUUUUUCUGCAUGUUCCUAUAACCGGCAAAAUUGGAUUUUCUUGCUUUCUUAUCAUAUGUGGGUUUUUAAUAAGUGCAGAUGAAGAAAGAGCACUCAACAGUAUAACUUUUGCUGGAAUUACCUAUGGUGUCCUAGCUAGCAUGGUGGCUGCACUUUGUGGUAUUUACUGCAAGAGGGUGGACAAAGUUGUGGAUGGUGACUCCUUGAAAAUAGCACUUUUAAACAAUGGUAGCAGCAUAAUACUGCUUUUCCCUCUCAUUUUUAGUACUGGUCAGUUUCACACAGCUUGGAUGACAGGGCAGCUGUGGAAGGUAACGUUGUGGUGGCAACUGAUAGUUACUGGGGUCAUUAGCAUGAUGGUCGGAUGGACUAGCAACAAGGUAAUUAGCUUGACAUCCCCUGUGACACACAAUGUGAGCAUCAAUGCCAAAUCACUCCUGCAGACAAUACUGGCUGUGAUUUUCCAUGAAGAAAAAAAAACAUUCCUUUGGUGGGUAGGAAAUCUCCUUGUGAUGCUUGGCAUAAUGUUGUAUGCUACAAAUAAAUCUUCAACAUCCAAUGAAAUAAUCAUAACAAUACCUGAAAAAAAAGAAACAAGGUGACAAGGACAUUUGGAUGAUCAAAACUGUCUUCUGUUGAUGUUUCUUAAAGAAGGAUUGGAAGAAUAUUUGAAAUGUUUGUAAUGAAAAUUUUGUAAUUGAGAUCAUCCUUUAUAGGGAUUAGAGCAUAUGUGCAUUAAUUUUUAUACUUUUGCAUAUAAUGUAUAUCUGUAUUCAUUGUAUCACUAUAAAAAAAAACUAGCUACAAUGAAAAUAGGCAGAACUGUUACAGCUUAUUAAAGCUGCAUGAAGAGCUUUUGAAAGCAUACAUUGCUGGAGAACCUUCUUGGUUUUAUCUUAUACAUCACUGAUGCCUGCAGUUACCAUCAUGGCUUCUGUGUGUAUGAUCUCCAAAGGCACUGCAAAUAUAAGAGUAACUCUUGUUAUCCUAAUAUUCCUGAAGAUACCUAUCAUCAGAUGUAAAGCUUCCUAGGAUUUGCGGGUUCAAACACAAACAGACCCUGGAGGUAAGAAUUAAAAGGAAUAUGAUCCUUGUUCAUUCCAAGUAUAUUCUAUAACUAUGGCCUUUACUGUUUGGUUUUUUAAAAACUGUAAUCAGCUUUCCUUUUGCAUGAUGUGGUAGAGCUGUAGUUUUAUAUAGCCUUUGUGUUCUGAACAGGUACAUUUUAAAAGUUUAAAACUCAGACAUACUGACAAGUGACAAUACAUUCUUGUAUAAAUAGGGUUAAUUUUAUUGAUGCUUUUUUCAUUUUGGUAGCUCAUUAGAGAUCUCGUGUUGCACUUAAUACUAUACAUUACAUAAUUCAAGGAUAAUCUGUGUGCAAACACUUUCUUACAACUGAAUCUAGUGAAUUACAAUGAUAAAAUUUUAAUUUCAACCGUCGUCGUAAGUUUAUUUCGUUUGUGAGUUAAAAUCUUUUAUCCCAGUUCCUGCAACAUCACUUGAUAGUGUUGUGGCAAUAUUAACAUGGGCUUCAACCCUCUCCCUGUGACAACAAGCAGCUAACAUGUUUAUUUCAUAUGGUCAGCCUUUGUGUGCUUUAACACAAAGAAGACACCUCUAAGCUAUGACUACACGCACAAAAUAGAAUGCUCACUCUUUCUGACAGGUAGGAUAACUGAAGCUAUAAAAAAGUAUUUAAAAACUUUGACAACUUGUCUUUUAACCAGUCAUCAAGUUUCAGCUUAGCUCUAAGUUACAGUUAGAACACAAUUUACCAAUUUAAUUAUUGAGCUCAUUUUUUUAUCUAUAUGUAUAUAUUGAACUGUACAUUGUGUAGUAACCCAAUUUACCUUACAGUGGGGAGAACACGACAGAAAAGGCAGUCCACAGGGCUCUAUAUCUCGAUACGCUGUACCUGUAUGUCGAACGAACCGUUACCGAAACUCGUUCAUUCCGCGUGCCAUUCACUUCUUCAAUUCCACUAGCUGUGAUGAUGUGUCAGCCUGAGGUGACCUUGUGCGGGGUGCCAACUGAACCUCCUGUUGCUGUGUUACUAUAUGAGUGGGUGUGUGCGCACAUGUGUGUGUAUGUUGCCAGAAUCUAUUCCCUUUAAUCUCCUACAUAUAAUCUUCACUUUAGUGUGCUGGCGUGUCAUCAUACCUGUAAUUGCCCUUGCGGAUUAAUAAAAUUGUAUUGUAUUGCAUUGUAUUGUAUAUCCAUUUCUCCCUGCUGUUGUCACAAAUUUUAAGGGUUAACUUGCAAGGUUUGCCUGUGUUCUGUUUUGCGAUUUUAUAAAUUUAGCUCCACAAUUCAUUUGCAUGCACACAUUUGCCAAGUCUUUGAUAUGCAGCUGCAUCCAUGACAUUACAAAUUCUUACCCUCAUCCUUGUGAUAAAACAGAUCUUUAAAACAUUUUAUGGUCUUUAUAAAGUAUUUCAUUUGCUUAACAUUUUGUGAAACAAUGAAGUUGUAUUUUUUUCUAAUAAUUCUCACACCAAGAUUAAAUUCAGUAAGUGUUGAGAUUUGUUUGGGAUUUUAGAAAAUAGAUAUUUAGCUGAAGAAAGUGAGUUGACAACAUUUUCAGAUUACAGUAAUACAUUAUGCUGGUACAUUAGAUGAACAAUUCGUCAAGUGGAUUAUUACCUUAAGUAAUUGAAAGUGCAUUUGUAUAUAGAGCCUUUUUCAUUUUGUCAAUUCAUUUUGGGCAAAUACAAGAUCUGAAGAAAUACUCUAAAUGCUUGUACAUCAUAUUCUCCAUCUUUUAUGCUGGGUUUUUUUCGCUCCUUAAAUGUGUGAAAUAAUAAAGUAUCUAACCCAGCUAGUUGUGUUAUAAUUGUUGGUAAAUAUAUGUAAGGAAUGCAGGAUAUUUAAAAUGCCUCUAAAGAUUGUGUAUAUUCUUGACCGUUAAAAAAUUGUCAUCAAAA
rnacentral:misc_RNA from 1 species